GACGAACGCUGGCGGCGUGCUUAACACAUGCAAGUCGAACGAUGAAGCCGGAGCUUGCUCCGGUGGAUUAGUGGCGAACGGGUGAGUAACACGUGAGAAAUCUGCCCUUGACUCUGGGAUAACUGCGGGAAACUGUAGCUAAUACCGGAUACGACACCUUGGGGCAUCCCAGGGUGUGGAAAGAAUUUCGGUCAAGGAUGAGCUCGCGACCUAUCAGCUAGUUGGUGAGGUAAUGGCUCACCAAGGCGACGACGGGUAGCCGGCCUGAGAGGGUGACCGGCCACACUGGAACUGAGACACGGUCCAGACUCCUACGGGAGGCAGCAGUGGGGAAUAUUGCACAAUGGGCGAAAGCCUGAUGCAGCAACGCCGCGUGAGGGAUGAAGGCCUUCGGGUUGUAAAUCUCUUUUAGCAGGGAAGAAGCGAAAGUGACGGUACCUGCAGAAAAAGCACCGGCUAACUACGUGCCAGCAGCCGCCGUAA
rnacentral:rRNA from 1 species